rnacentral:pre_miRNA from 1 species
UCUUUAUUUCACACGCUCUCUCACCGGUCAGCGAGGCGAGAGAGAGAGUGUGUGAAAUGAAGAGA